rnacentral:lncRNA from 1 species
UAUAUAUAUAUAUAUAUAUAUGCAUAUUUAAAAAUGCUAAUGUUAAAGUGAUAAAAAUUAAAUGAAAAAACACUCUAAUAAAAAAGUUAUAAAAAAAUACGUAUGUAUGUACAUAUAUAUAUUACAAAGUAGCAUUAAAAAAAUGAUUUAAAUUUCAAGUGCUAAUCAAGUAACAGUCAUGAAAUUAACAAUUUUAUAAACAGACAUACAUACAUUACAUAUAUGUAUGUGCAUUUCUUUCUAUCCAAAUGCUUAUUCAUUAUGUAUCAGACUGUUUAUGCUUAAUGCAAAUCUACCCUAUGAACUUUAAACUAUAUUUUUUACUUUUUAGCAUUUAAAAUGAUAAAUAUGUACAUAUAUAUAUAUGUAUAUAAACUUUCAAUUUAUAAAAUAAUAUGUUUUCCUUUUAUACUUUAUUCAAUAGGGUUGUUUGUGAAAUAUUAGAGAAGGGUGAAUGCAAUAAAUUUACAAUAAAAUUGGAGGAUCAUACAAUAGGAAACAUAAUAAAUGAAGCACUUUGUCAUGACCCUGAGGUUACAUUUUCCGCAUUUAGAAAACCACAUCCUCUUCGAAAUGAAAUUGAGAUAACUAUGAAGCCAAUGGGAUAUGCAGGUGUGAAAUUACUUGCAGACAACAUUAUUAGUUUGGCCGAUGAUGUGUCUAAUAUGAGAAAAGAUUUUAUCAGAAAAGUUCAAAGUUUUAAAGCCAAAAAGGCAUUUUAUGAUGAUUAUUAAAACAUUGGAAUAUUUUAUAUGAUAUACCCAUUUUUGUUUUCCAAUAAUUUACUACACACGUUCAUACA